rnacentral:rRNA from 1 species
AUUGAACGCUGGCGGCAGGCUUAACACAUGCAAGUCGAACGAUGAUUAUCUAGCUUGCUAGAUAUGAUUAGUGGCGGACGGGUGAGUAACAUUUAGGAAUCUGCCUAGUAGUGGGGGAUAGCUCGGGGAAACUCGAAUUAAUACCGCAUACGACCUACGGGUGAAAGGGGGCGCAAGCUCUUGCUAUUAGAUGAGCCUAAAUCAGAUUAGCUAGUUGGUGGGGUAAAGGCCCACCAAGGCGACGAUCUGUAACUGGUCUGAGAGGAUGAUCAGUCACACCGGAACUGAGACACGGUCCGGACUCCUACGGGAGGCAGCAGUGGGGAAUAUUGGACAAUGGGGGCAACCCUGAUCCAGCCAUGCCGCGUGUGUGAAGAAGGCCUUUUGGUUGUAAAGCACUUUAAGCAGGGAGGAGAGGCUAAUGGUUAAUACCCAUUAGAUUAGACGUUACCUGCAGAAUAAGCACCGGCUAACUCUGUGCCAGCAGCCGCGGUAAUACAGAGGGUGCGAGCGUUAAUCGGAAUUACUGGGCGUAAAGCGAGUGUAGGUGGCUCAUUAAGUCACAUGUGAAAUCCCCGGGCUUAACCUGGGAACUGCAUGUGAUACUGGUGGUGCUAGAAUAUGUGAGAGGGAAGUAGAAUUCCAGGUGUAGCGGUGAAAUGCGUAGAGAUCUGGAGGAAUACCGAUGGCGAAGGCAGCUUCCUGGCAUAAUAUUGACACUGAGAUUCGAAAGCGUGGGUAGCAAACAGGAUUAGAUACCCUGGUAGUCCACGCCGUAAACGAUGUCUACUAGCCGUUGGGGUCCUUGAGACUUUAGUGGCGCAGUUAACGCGAUAAGUAGACCGCCUGGGGAGUACGGCCGCAAGGUUAAAACUCAAAUGAAUUGACGGGGGCCCGCACAAGCGGUGGAGCAUGUGGUUUAAUUCGAUGCAACGCGAAGAACCUUACCUGGUCUCGACAUAGUGAGAAUCCUGCAGAGAUGCGGGAGUGCCUUCGGGAAUUCACAUACAGGUGCUGCAUGGCUGUCGUCAGCUCGUGUCGUGAGAUGUUGGGUUAAGUCCCGCAACGAGCGCAACCCUUUUCCUUAUUUGCCAGCGGGUUAAGCCGGGAACUUUAAGGAUACUGCCAGUGACAAACUGGAGGAAGGCGGGGACGACGUCAAGUCAUCAUGGCCCUUACGACCAGGGCUACACACGUGCUACAAUGGUAGGUACAGAGGGUUGCUACACAGCGAUGUGAUGCUAAUCUCAAAAAGCCUAUCGUAGUCCGGAUUGGAGUCUGCAACUCGACUCCAUGAAGUCGGAAUCGCUAGUAAUCGCGGAUCAGGAUGCCGCGGUGAAUACGUUCCCGGGCCU